UGGUUUGAGGACUGCAGAGUGUUUGAGAUGAAGAUUGCUUGCAGAGAGAACAGCUUCAAGGGCUGCAAAAGAAGAAGCAGAGCUAAUGAGUAACAAAUUGAUAGAGUUGGAGAAACACAUAAAGGCAGAGAUAGAGGCCAAGAACAGAGCCG